CCACGAGACAGGGCGCAGAGAGCGAGUGCACGGCUGGCAGGGACAGGUCGCGACCCAGCUCCUUGCGGAGAGCAGAAAGGCCGAGACGCCAGGAAACAGGACUAUACAGCUACCGCCUCGCACCCGGCUACCGCCUCGCACCCGGCUACCGCCUCGCACCCGGCUACCGCCUCGCACCCGGCUACCGCCUCGCACCCGGCUCCCCCAACGCACCGACGUCCGCGCAGGCUCACUACGCCGGUACCCGGUGCGAGGGCGUCACCGGAAGUGCCCCGCGGCGCCCCGGAUGCGACGGGGCAACAUCGCGGUUGCCAGGGCGACGGGAGCUUUCCGCAGCUGCUGGUACUCCCCAUUGGAAACGUAGAACCGUUACCGGUCGAGGGCCUUAGCAGCCGUCGUGACCCUCUAGGGAAUCCCACGAUGUUCUUCUACCUGACCAAGAAAAUUUCCAUUCCCAAUAACGUGAAGCUGAAGUGUGUAUCCUGGAACAAGGGACAAGGGUUCAUAGCAUGCGGUGGUGAAAAUGGAUUACUGCAAGUUUUGAAAUUAGAGACGCAGACAGAUGAUGCAAAAUUGAGGAGCCUUGCAGCCCCCAGUAACCUUUCUAUGCGUCACACUCUUGAAGGUCAUAGUGGUUCUGUUCAAGUUGUAACAUGGAAUGAACAGUAUCAGAAGUUGACUACCAGUGAUGAAAAUGGGCUUAUCAUUGUGUGGAUGUUAUAUAAAGGUAUACAUUACUAGGAGAGCUUAUUUAAUUUUUCACAUGUUGACAUCUAGCUUACAGUAUUUGGAUG
rnacentral:lncRNA from 1 species